rnacentral:rRNA from 1 species
GAUUAGAGUUUGAUCAUGGCUCAGGACGAACGCUGGCGGCGUGCCUAAUACAUGCAAGUCGAGCGAACUGACUUGAAAAGCUUGCCUUUCAAUGACGUUAGCGGCGGACGGGUGAGUAACACGUGGGUAACCUGCCCUAUAGACUGGGAUAACUUCGGGAAACCGGAGCUAAUACCGGAUAAUACUUUGAAUCACAUGUUUCAAAGUUGAAAGAUGGUUUUGGCUAUCACUAUAGGAUGGACCCGCGGCGCAUUAGCUAGUUGGUGAGGUAACGGCUCACCAAGGCGACGAUGCGUAGCCGACCUGAGAGGGUGAUCGGCCACACUGGGACUGAGACACGGCCCAGACUCCUACGGGAGGCAGCAGUAGGGAAUCUUCCACAAUGGACGAAAGUCUGAUGGAGCAACGCCGCGUGAGUGAAGAAGGAUUUCGGUUCGUAAAACUCUGUUGCAAGGGAAGAACAAGUAGCGUAGUAACUGGCGCUACCUUGACGGUACCUUGUUAGAAAGCCACGGCUAACUACGUGCCAGCAGCCGCGGUAAUACGUAGGUGGCAAGCGUUGUCCGGAUUUACUGGGUGUAAAGGGCGAGUAGGCGGUCUUGCAAGUCAGGUGUGAAAUACCGGAGCUCAACUCCGGGGCUGCACUUGAAACUGUAGGACUUGAGUGAUGGAGAGGCAGGCGGAAUUCCCGGUGUAGCGGUGGAAUGCGUAGAUAUCGGGAGGAACACCAGUGGCGAAGGCGGCCUGCUGGACAUUAACAUGACGCUGAGGAGCGAAAGCGUGGGGAGCAAACAGGAUUAGAUACACUGGUAGUCCACGCUGUAAACCGAUGAAUACUAGGUGUGGGAGGACUGACCCCUUGCGUGCCGUAGUUAACACAAUAAGUAUUCCACCUGGGGAGUACGACCGCAAGGUUGAAACUCAAAGGAAUUGACGGGGGCCCGCACAAGCGGAGGAACAUGUGGUUUAAUUCGAUGAUACGCGAGGAACCUUACCCGGGCUCGAACGGCAGGGGAAUCACUCAGAGAUGGGUGAGUCUUCGGACUCCUGUCGAGGUGCUGCAUGGUUGUCGUCAGCUCGUGCUGUGAAGUGUCGGCUUAAGUGCCAUAACGAGCGCAACCCUUGCCAUUAGUUGCCAUCAGGUUAAGCUGGGGACUCUAGUGGGACUGCCACCGCAAGGUGUGAGGAAGGGGGGGAUGACGUCAAAUCAGCACGGCCCUUACGUCCGGGGCGACACACGUGUUACAAUGGUGGGUACAGAGGGAAGCUACCUGGCGACAGGAUGCAGAUCUCGAAAACCCAUCCCAGUUCGGAUUGGAGUCUGCAACCCGACUCCAUGAAGUUGGAUUCGCUAGUAAUCGCGCAUCAGCCAUGGCGCGGUGAAUACGUUCCCGGGCCUUGUACACACCGCCCGUCAAGCCAUGGAAGCCGGGGGCGCCUGAAGUUCGUGACCGCGAGGAGCGACCUAGGGCGAAACUGGUGACUGGGGCUAAGUCGUAACAAGGUAACCAAUC